CCACGGGGGGCAGCAGUGGGGAAUAUUGCACAAUGGGCGAAAGCCUGAUGCAGCGACGCCGCGUGAGUGAAGAAGUAUUUCGGUAUGUAAAGCUCUAUCAGCAGGGAAGAAAAUGACGGUACCUGACUAAGAAGCCCCGGCUAACUACGUGCCAGCAGCCGCGGUAAUACGUAGGUGGCAAGCGUUAUCCGGAUUUACUGGGUGUAAAGGGAGCGUAGACGGCGAAGCAAGUCUGGAGUGAAAACCCAGGGCUCAACCCUGGGAAUGCUGUGGAAACGGUUUUGCUAGGGGGUCGGAGAGGUAAGUGGAAUUCCUGGUGUAGCGGUGAAAUGCGUAGAUAUUAGGAGGAACACAAGUGGGGAGGGCGGCGUACUGGACGAUAACUGACGUUGAGGCUCGAAAGCGUGGGGAGCAAACAGGAUUAGAUACCCCUGUAGUC
rnacentral:rRNA from 1 species